UACGUAGGGGGCAAGCGUUGUCCGGAAUCAUUGGGCGUAAAGCGCGCGUAGGCGGCCCGAUAAGUCCGCUGUAAAAGUCAACGGCUCAACUGUUGAACGCCGGUGGAUACUGUCGGGCUAGAGUCCGGAAGAGGCAAGUGGAAUUCCUGGUGUAGCGGUGGAAUGCGCAGAUAUCAGGAGGAACACCGGUGGCGAAGGCGGAUCUCUGGGCCUUACCUGACGCUGAGGCGCGAAAGCUAGGGGAGCGAACAGG
rnacentral:rRNA from 1 species